rnacentral:sRNA from 1 species
CCAAGUUAUUUGCAAAUCCCUUCGGGAUCUUGCUGGCUGCUGGUCGAAAGUUCUGAUCCCUUCCACUAGCUAGCAAAUCCGCAAUUCGGGAUAUGACCCUAGUCUAAAAUUCGACGCAACCGCAGGCGUGGCCGUUAUUUCGUUGCUGCUCUCCAUGAUAUAGCGGUCAAGAGCAAAAAUAUCACCAGAAUUUCUCAGGACACCUCGCGGAUUUGCUCAUGACACGAUAAUAAGAAUAUUCAAUGUUUCAUCUUUCAUUGACCAUAAACAUAAAUAAAUUGUAGGCAAUGAUGUCAUUCCGAAGAUCCUCAUCCGUGUGCAA